rnacentral:rRNA from 1 species
CGCUGGCGGCGUGCCUAACACAUGCAAGUCGAACGGGGAUUUGUUUCGGCAGAAUCCUAGUGGCGAACGGGUGAGUAACGCGUAGGCAACCUGCCCCCCGGAUUGGGACAACACCCCGAAAGGGGUGCUAAUACCGGAUACGAAGAUAAUACCGCAUGGUGUUAUUUUGAAAGAUGGCCUCUAUUUAUAAGCUAUCGCCGGGGGAUGGGCCUGCGUCCGAUUAGCUGGUUGGUGGGGUAACGGCCUACCAAGGCGACGAUCGGUAGCCGGUCUGAGAGGAUGAACGGCCACAUUGGGACUGAGACACGGCCCAGACUCCUACGGGAGGCAGCAGUGGGGAAUCUUCCGCAAUGGGCGAAAGCCUGACGGAGCAACGCCGCGUGGGUGAGGAAGUUCUUCGGAACGUAAAGCCCUGUUGUACAUGACGAACGUGCUUUCUAUCAACAACGGGAAGCAAUGACGGUAGUGUACGAGGAAGCCACGGCUAACUACGUGCCAGCAGCCGC